rnacentral:rRNA from 1 species
AUACGGAGGAUCCGAACGUUAUCCGGAUUUAUUGGGUUUAAAGGGUGCGCAGGCGGCCAUUUAAGUCAGCGGUUAAAUCGUGGGGCUCAACCCCAUUCUGCCGUUGAUACUGGGUGGCUUGAUUGCGGUCGAGGUUGGCGGAAUUCGUUGUGUAGCGGUUGAAUGCAUAGAUAUGACGAAGAACACCGAUUGCGUAGGCAGCUGACCAGACCGCAAAUGACGCUCAUGCACGAAAGUGCGGGGAUCGAACAGGAUUAGAUACCCUGGUAGUCCGCACAGUAAACGAUGAAUACUUGUUUUCGGCGAUAUAAUGUCGGAGGCAAAGCGAAAGCGAUAAGUAUUCCACCUGGGGAGUACGCCGGCAACGGUGAAACUUAAAGGAAUUGACGGGG